AGAGUUUGAUCCUGGCUCAGGAUGAACGCUAGCGACAGGCUUAACACAUGCAAGUCGAGGGGCAGCAUAAAAGUAGCAAUACUUGGUGGCGACCGGCGCACGGGUGAGUAACGCGUAUGCAACCUACCUAUCAGAGGGGAAUAACCCGGCGAAAGUCGGACUAAUACCGCAUAAAACAGGGGCACCGCAUGGUGAUAUUUGUUAAAGAAAUUCGCUGAUAGAUGGGCAUGCGUUCCAUUAGGUAGUUGGUGAGGUAACGGCUCACCAAGCCGACGAUGGAUAGGGGAACUGAGAGGUUGGUCCCCCACACUGGUACUGAGACACGGACCAGACUCCUACGGGAGGCAGCAGUGAGGAAUAUUGGUCAAUGGGCGGGAGCCUGAACCAGCCAAGUCCGCGUGAAGGAAGAAGGAUCUAUGGUUCGUAAACUUCUUUUGCAGGGGAAUAAAGUGCAGGACGUGUCCUGUUUUGUAUGUACCCUGAGAAUAAGGAUCGGCUAACCCCGUGCCAGCCGCCGC
rnacentral:rRNA from 1 species